GACGAACGCUGGCGGCGCGCCUAACACAUGCAAGUCGAACGGAGCUGAGAGAAGCUUGCUUUUCUUAGAUUAGUGGCGAACGGGUGAGUAACGCGUGAGUAACCUGCCCUGGAGUGGGGGACAACAGUUGGAAACGACUGCUAAUACCGCAUAAGCCCACGAUCCGGCAUCGGAUUGAGGGAAAAGGAUUUAUUCGCUUCAGGAUGGACUCGCGUCCAAUUAGCUAGUUGGUGAGGUAACGGCCCACCAAGGCGACGAUUGGUAGCCGGACUGAGAGGUUGAACGGCCACAUUGGGACUGAGACACGGCCCAGACUCCUACGGGAGGCAGCAGUGGGGGAUAUUGCACAAUGGGGGAAACCCUGAUGCAGCGACGCCGCGUGGAGGAAGAAGGUUUUCGGAUUGUAAACUCCUGUCGUUAGGGACGAUAAUGACGGUACCUAACAAGAAAGCACCGGCUAACUACGUG
rnacentral:rRNA from 1 species